rnacentral:rRNA from 1 species
UAGGGAAUCUUCCACAAUGGACGCAAGUCUGAUGGAGCAACGCCGCGUGAGUGAAGAAGGUUUUCGGACCGUAAAGCUCUGUUGUUGGUGAAGAAGGAUAGAGGUAGUAACUGGCCUUUAUUUGACGGUAAUCAACCAGAAAGUCACGGCUAACUACGUGCCAGCAGCCGCGGUAAUACGUAGGUGGCAAGCGUUGUCCGGAUUUAUUGGGCGUAAAGCGAGCGCAGGCGGAAGAAUAAGUCUGAUGUGAAAGCCCUCGGCUUAACCGAGGAAUUGCAUCGGAAACUGUUUUUCUUGAGUGCAGAAGAGGAGAGUAGAACUCCAUGUGUAGCGGUGGAAUGCGUAGAUAUAUGGAAGAAUACCAGUGGCGAAGGCGGCUCUCUGGUCUGCAACUGACGCUGAGGCUCGAAAGCAUGGGUAGCGAACAGGAUUAGAUACCCUGGUAGUCCAUGCCGUAAACGAUGAGUGCUAAGUGUUGGGAGGCUUCCGCCUCUCAGUGCUGCAGCUAACGCAUUAAGCACUCCGCCUGGGGAGUACGACCGCAAGGUUGAAAC